rnacentral:tRNA from 1 species
GCCCGGAUGGUGAAGUUGGUAGACACAGCAGAUUUAAAAUCUGCCGCACAUAUUGCGUACCGGUUCGAAUCCGGUUCCGGGCACCA